UACGUAGGGGGCAAGCGUUGUCCGGAUUUAUUGGGCGUAAAGAGCGUGUAGGCGGCCUGGAAGGUCAGCUGUGAAAACUCGAGGCUCAACCUCGAGACGUCGGUUGAAACCACCUGGCUAGAGUCCGGAAGAGGAGAGUGGAAUUCCCGGUGUAGCGGUGAAAUGCGCAGAUAUCGGGAAGAACACCCGUGGCGAAGGCGGCGACCUGGACAGGCACUGACACUCAACUACGAAAGCGUGGGGAGCAAACAGG
rnacentral:rRNA from 1 species